ensembl:lncRNA
AUGAGUGACUGUUGUCUUCUCGCAGAUACGCCGAGGGUAUACCAGGGUGUCCGGGUGAAGACCACGGUCAAAGAGCUGCUGCAGAGGCACAGAGCCCGGGAGGCCAAUAACAAAAAAGUGAAAACGAUAUCCCAGGCUGGUACGGAGCUCCAGGAUUUUUGCGUCUCAGCUUUUCCAAGUCGCUAUGUGGACCCUCAUCCAGCUGUUCCCGCAGCAGACGCGAGCGGCGGUGGCGCGCGAGCCCUCCAGCUGCGCACCGCCCCGUUCCCGGAUAGCUCGUGCGCCAUGCAGAUGCAGGGGGGGACAUUAAACGACAGCCAGCAGCAGUUUGGGGACAUGAUGUUGACCAGCAGCGGCUACAGUGGGAAUAACAGCAGCAGCAGCAUCGUCGGAGGCGGCGGCGGCGGCGGCGGCGGAGGCGGCUACAGCGCCUCCCUGCCUCCCCCUCCCACCUACCCGCUGCCCUGGUGCCACGGGCUCUCCUCAGAUGCGGACUACUAUGGGCAUGAGAUGGUUUCCUGCUCCUCGCCAGAAUCGCUGAAGCUCUGCAGCCCCAUGGAUCACAACAGCUACUCGCCGCAGGACUCUUUCUCCUCCUCCUCCUCUUCCUCCUGCUAUGACUCGCCUACCAGGAUGGAGUCCAGCUACCACAGCUUCAGCUCAGAGCAUUACCACUAUCAGCACUGCAGUGUCCAGGACUCUUACUGCCUGCCCCACUGCUGGCCAGGCCAGCAGGAGAGCUUCUCUGUCCCUGAAUAUGCACCUUACUACAACACCACAGACUAUCCUUACGCCUGCCCUGUGGAAGAGAACUAUUUUAAGAGGGAUUUUCAGAUGAGCUCUGAGAUGUGUUACAACGUACUAUCAUGAGACUUUCAACAGUAUUGUUAUGUCGUCUGUAAAUAUGAUUCUGUCCAAGUACUCCGUCAGGCUGUUUGCUUGAUGUUCCCCUUUGCAUUCCAGGGAGCAUGUUUGAACUGAUUUUUACCUUGUUGGAGUGAAUAUGAUGAAUGAUUAAUGGAUGGAAAUGUCAAUGUUUUUGCAUCAGUGACUUUGUUUUUGUACUGCUUAAAUUUAUUUUCAUACACACAACUUGUUGCUCUAAUUAAAUAAAAUGCUCUAAAAUCACCA